CCUUCUUUUUCUCUCUUUCCUCUUCCUUCCUUUUCUUCCCUCUUUCUCCUUCGGUUCGCUAAGACAGGUGUGAAAUCCCCGGGCUUAACCUGGGAAUGGCGCUUGUGACUGGCGGGCUGGAGUACGGCAGAGGGGGGUGGAAUUCCACGUGUAGCAGUGAAAUGCGUAGAGAUGUGGAGGAACACCGAUGGCGAAGGCAGCCCCCUGGGCCGAUACUGACGCUCAUGCACGAAAGCGUGGGGAGCAAACAG
rnacentral:rRNA from 1 species